rnacentral:rRNA from 1 species
GCACGGGAUUCAGAGAAGAAAUUCGGGCCUAGCGAUCCAUGACGUCCCCACUAUUGGGGGCUCGUGGUGACAGAAAAAUUACCCCAGGGAUAACAGGCUCGUCGCGGGCGAGAGCUCCUAUCGACCCCGCGGUUUGGUACCUCGAUGUCGGCUUUUCCCAUCCUGGCCCUGCAGCAGGGGCCAAGGGUGAGGCUGCUCGCCUAUUAAAGGGGAACAUGAGCUGGGUUUAGACCGUCGUGAGACAGGUCGGACUCUGCCUGAUGGAAGCGUGGAUACUUGAGGGGAAGUUGCUCCGAGUACGAGAGGAACAGAGNNNNNNNNNNUAACUCCUGAAAGCAUCUAAGGAGGAAACCUAUCCUGAGAAAAGGUAUCCGGUCGUAAGACAAAGGGUGGCAGCAGAAGACUGCUUUGAUAGAACAGCAGUGUAUGCCCCAAGGUUCGCCGAGGGGCGAGCUGGCUGUUACUAACAACCCAAUACAUCAGUCAG